rnacentral:rRNA from 1 species
AGAGUUUGAUCAUGGCUCAGAUUGAACGCUGGCGGCAUGCCUUACACAUGCAAGUCGAACGGCAGCGCGGGAGCAAUCCUGGCGGCGAGUGGCGAACGGGUGAGUAAUACAUCGGAACGUGCCCAAUCGUGGGGGAUAACGCAGCGAAAGUUGCGCUAAUACCGCAUACGAUCUACGGAUGAAAGUGGGGGAUCGCAAGACCUCAUGCUCAUGGAGCGGCCGAUAUCUGAUUAGCUAGUUGGUGGGGUAAAGGCCUACCAAGGCAUCGAUCAGUAGCUGGUCUGAGAGGACGACCAGCCACACUGGAACUGAGACACGGUCCAGACUCCUACGGGAGGCAGCAGUGGGGAAUUUUGGACAAUGGGGGCAACCCUGAUCCAGCAAUGCCGCGUGAGUGAAGAAGGCCUUCGGGUUGUAAAGCUCUUUUGUCAGGGAAGAAACGGUGAGGGCUAAUAUCCUUUGCUAAUGACGGUACCUGAAGAAUAAGCACCGGCUAACUACGUGCCAGCAGCCGCGGUAAUACGUAGGGUGCAAGCGUUAAUCGGAAUUACUGGGCGUAAAGCGUGCGCAGGCGGUUUUGUAAGUCUGUCGUGAAAGCCCCGGGCUCAACCUGGGAAUUGCGAUGGAGACUGCAAGGCUUGAAUCUGGCAGAGGGGGGUAGAAUUCCACGUGUAGCAGUGAAAUGCGUAGAGAUGUGGAGGAACACCGAUGGCG